rnacentral:rRNA from 1 species
GAUGAACGCUGGCGGCGUGCUUAACACAUGCAAGUCGAACGAAGCACUCUAUUUGAUUUCCUUCGGGAUUGAUAUUUGUGACUGAGUGGCGGACGGGUGAGUAACGCGUGGGUAACCUGCCUUGUACAGGGGGAUAACAGUUGGAAACGGCUGCUAAUACCGCAUAAGCGCACAGUACCGCAUGGUAUAGUGUGAAAAAACUCCGGUGGUAUAAGAUGGACCCGCGUUUGAUUAGCUGGUUGGUGGGGUAACGGCCUACCAAGGCGACGAUCAGUAGCCGGACUGAGAGGUUGACCGGCCACAUUGGGACUGAGAUACGGCCCAGACUCCUACGGGAGGCAGCAGUGGGGAAUAUUGGGCAAUGGGCGAAAGCCUGACCCAGCAACGCCGCGUGAAGGAAGAAGGCCUUCGGGUUGUAAACUUCUUUUACCAGGGACGAACACAAUGACGGUACCUGGAGAAAAGCAACGGCUAACUACGUG